CUGCUUUUCUAGGAAUCCGUUCGUCUAAGUGAUCCGGUCUGCUGGCAGGAAGGCCCGUCUUUGACCGAUUCUGCGGGUGUCGCAACGCGAGAGAGGCGCAGGCUCCGUGUCUCCUGACGGGGCUUCGUGGCUUCUCUCCCUUCUCCUGCCUCCGUCUCUGUCCCGUUCAGGUCCCUGCUGUCUCCGCACCGAGCUUUGCCGGGGAUGGGGGGUGCUCUGGGCUCGGGGGCUCAGGCCUGGCCUCCGGAUUUGGAGAACGCAGCACGCAGACCCCGUCCCGCUUUGGGCUUCUGCCGUCUGACUCGUGGCCCUUCCAUUCGGACCGCGGCUGCUUUAGGCCUGUUUUCAAGGCCAUCAGGGGCCCGCGUGCUCCCCUCUGUUGCUGUCACACAAUGAUGCCAGGAGAAUUCUGCUGGACGGCUGGAGAGAGUAGGGGCCCCGAGCGCCUGGCAUGGGGCGGGGAUGGAGGACAGGUCGUACACGGCAAACCCGCGUCCCCGAGGGAAGCGCGACACCAACGUCCCAUGUUUUUCACACACGCACUGAUCGACUGGGAAGAGGAAUUUCUCCUGGACCGUUUUUUUUUUUUUUUUUCUAAAUGCUUGUAAUAUUUUGCUGUUACUGGAGAUCUCUAGUACUGGACUGAGAUCUAUAUAGUGUAUAUAGUAUAUACACUAUACACUAUAG
rnacentral:lncRNA from 1 species